GUAGGUGAACCUGCGGAAGGAUCAUUGCCUGAGGGCGCGUGGCCGAGCGUCGCUAAACACGGCGUGGAGCCCGCGCAUUACUCACCAACAACCCAUGUGAACCAAAGUGACGUGACGGGUGGCGUGCCGCACGCGCGCUUCUGGCGCGCGCGCGCACCCUCCAUCUCUCCUUUUUAUUUACUUAACCACGUUAACCCUGCUUCUCUGACUGAGAUUGAGCGACCUUAACAACGUCGUGACCAAACCAAAC
rnacentral:misc_RNA from 1 species